ensembl:miRNA
AGCAGUGCAAUGUUAAAAGGGCAUUGGCCA